rnacentral:lncRNA from 1 species
CUUGUCUUCCCUCUCACAUUUAAACUGAGCAUUUGAUUUGAGAGGUUACACAAUUUUAAAACUUAUCUGAAGACAUAGACAAAGUCUCAUAAAUAUUUUCUCCUAUUUUUAAUUGGCAAAUUAAAAGUUUAGAUUUUCUUUUUAGUUCUAUGACUGCCAUGGACGAAAAGUGCCCUCACAUCCUGAGAGAGUUAACUUGCCUUGCUGAUCAGGAAACCACCUGCAGUGGGCUUGCGGCAGAUGAGAAACUGGCUUUGAUCCCCACAGAGGGCUGCCUUACUACAUGCAAAUGUUGGAUGUUGGCAGGAUACUGGGCUUGGAGCAUGGGCAGGAUCUUGGAACCCUAACUCUGAGAUCUGUGGAGCCCCUAACUUCCUGACUCCAUACUCAGUGAUCUAACAGCCUGACCUGGGCAGCUUUGGGGAAAGUACUAGAGGACUUCACGCUCUGAAGAAUAAGAUAAGGAAACUGAGUCACAAAGUGUUUGUCUCCUGGCCCUCAUCACCCAGCUCAUGAUUGGGUUAUACUUUUAGGCUGCCUUGAAUGUCAACACCACAACAGGAAGUGCAGAGCUGCAGGGCCUUGGAAAUGUUCCUCAAUCUUACUGUAAAAUGAAGAUAAGAGUUGUGCAUUUGUGGAGAGAAUAUCAGAUCAUGAAAAACAGAGGUUUUAAGUAGAAGCGUCCUUCCAUGUAUGUCCCCUACAUCUUGUGCUUCUGUCCUGGCAUGCCUCAUCUCAAAGGUCAGUGUCUUCCUGCCCCAGGCUGAUCCUUACACAGCUUCUGUGUCCUUGGGACUUUGACCCUACCCAACCACUCACCCGUCUCACUUUGUCAACAGUUACUUCCUUGCUUCUGGUGCAUCCCCUCAAGAUAUGAAAAUGUUCAAAAUAGCCACCUUAAAAAAAUAAAAUAAAUAAAGCUGUUAAACACUUCUAUUAACCUUAGUUGUUGUCUAGUGAUUCAACUU